CGUACAUGUAUUGUUGCAGCCCUACUAAGUGUGUUGGAGUGUGUUUUGUUUGUGGUUGGUGUUGUUCACACUUGCCUUCCAGAGUCAGACUGGCAUGGGCGGAUUCUGYAAUCUACUCACCUGUCCUGGAUUCUGCUGAUGAGGGCAGCUGGUACUUAAACUCCUGGAAGUGGUCCAUUCCUCGCCGGAUUAUUCAGUGACCCUGGUACUAAGAGCUUAAGGACCUUUGGACUUCGACCUCCCUUCCUGGAAACUUUCACCUGAUGAUCCGCAUCCUCCGUCCUGCCACUCUCUCUCUCUCCCUGGACCUGGAAAACAAACAAACAAACCUUGGAACCUGCAAAACACUUCCUGGAUUUCCUCUGCCUCCCCCAUCGGAGCAAGCCUCCUUCUCAAAGCCUGUAAGAAACAAAAACAUCUCCUUCAAAAUUUAUUCAUCUUGACUCCUGUGAACAGUGAAACUAAUACUCUCAUUUCCUCUUUUCAGGACGAGUCCAUUCACAACCUGCACUGUAAAUAAAAAUCACUUUAACUUUU